UCACUAUGGGAAUGUAGGAUCUGCCAGGCACCCAGAAUAACAGGAGACUGAGAAUAUAAAUCUAAGGGCUAACAGGUUUUACUUUCCCCCCAGGGUAAGGAUGUGUUCUGCUGACACUUCCUAUACCAGUCAGGUCUCGAUGUCUAUAGAAUUUCUAUAAGUAGAAAUAUUACGAACAUAAACCAUGUGUAUAAGUAUUUUUGAAUAAUAAUUAGGCAUUACGUAUAAAGUGUCUAUGGUUCAGUUUAACACUCCACUUUUGGGAUCUAUCAUGAGACUGACUUGUGCAAAGAGUGUCAAUAGCAGCUGGAAGAUGGACCAAGAUAUCUGCUCUUGCUCUGUGUGGCCACCUUACUCCAGUGAAGUUUCUCUGCUCUUUAUAAAAACAAAUGGAGAAUGUCAUCUGACCUAACCAAGGGUCUGUGCCUCUGUCUGUGAGUGCAAGCAUGCUCUUCCUGCCAAUCUGUAGCUCACUGGAAAUGCUCUCCCUCUACCACAACUGCUUUGAGUGACAAAGCAGCAUGGAAAAGUCUAAAACACCCAUAAGCAGGUGGGAAGACUGGAGGUAAGUGAACCUGAGGCUGAUUUGACAGCUCAUUAAUUUGAAGACUGGUCCAUAUUCUUUCCAUCCUUGCCACCCUCCGUCCAUCCUUCAUUCCCUUCCAUCCUCAACGUUUUGCCUCUUGUCAUCAGCAGUGUCCUUCAUUGAUCACAGGUGGUUGUUGGAGUUCUGGGCAUUACCCUCAUCCAAACAAGAGCGUCCAAAGUGGGGGCGGGGAGGGGAGAUUUCUAUUUUUAAGAUUCUCUCAUGUCUAGCAGGACUCCUAUUCCCACAAUAAGACUGCCAGAAAGUAUGUUUAUUAGACUUACUGCAGGAAGGGAAAACACACUUGACAGGAUCUCAUAUGGCUGCAAAUGGGGAAAUUAGUGAACGAUGUUUACAGGGUUUUAGGGCCUAUGUCAGUAAUUUCUAAGGUGGGUUUUGCAAGGCAGAGAAGUGACAGAGUUUGGGGCAAGUUUAUGACAUCGUAGCAUAGGCUCAGUAAUCACAGCAUGCAAAGGGCCUAAACAACUAUUGAUGAGUAUGCCACUCUUGUUAAUCAAGCUAUUUUAGGUGGCCCACAGUCUUAUCUUUCAGAAGUAAAUUGCCCAAAGCAAAUUUCUAAAUUCUUUGUUUGGUCUUAGUAUUGUUUAACAUAGGUGUAGGACUUUAUGUUGGUUUCAGUUCUCAUUUAUUAGGCAAAAAAAUCUUUCAUAGAAGUUUCCAGAAGACUGCCCCUUAACUGCGUUAUGUACAGAAAUAAGUAAAGCAACUUAGUGUGAGUAUUUCUCUGUGUCUGUGGUGGCUGGAGAGAUACAGUGUCAUAAAAAUGGAAUAACGUUAGAAAUGCUACUCUUUUUUUUUUUUCCUUUGUGUUACUCAGGUAGGUGGUCAAAUUUGACUGAAAGCAUUAUUCAGCCUCUUUCUGUUCCUGUUUCUCCCCACUUCAACUAGUAGACUUCUCCUUUAAUCUGAACCCCUGAUAAUUCUUUUGUGUUAGUUCCCUCCACUCAUUGCUGUACUAAAGCCUACUAGAGCCAAUUGUUACAUAUUCAGGAACUGUGCUAGUCAGUUGACGUCACAUUUGUACUUUGAAAUCAGUCGUGUUGGAUGUAUUUACACCAUGGAAAUCAGUGAAUGCUACAAAUGAGGGCUCCCCACCCUCAGCCGGUUGUUAAACAUUUACCAGCACACCACCGCCAGUAGGUCCUACUCUUAAGAAAGUAUUCGAUUUUAUAAUUACUUUAAUUUUUCAGGAAAAAAAAAUCAAAGAAUUGUUGAACUUAAAUAUUCAUUUGCUAUAAGGAAGACCAUUUCCUGUAAUCUCUCUAAGGUUAUGAGAAAAAAAGUUACGAAAAACAUAAAGGCAUUUAAGUCUUCAUCUGUUUGGAAACUAUGCUCAAUUAGGUUUUGAUGUUCUUUGUCUGCUGGAUCUUCCCAUUAUUUUCCAAGAGAAAUAGGAAUCAGUAUUUUUAUUUGAAAUCUUUCAAAUAAAAUUCUAACAACAACGAAAAUGUUGAUCUGCUAGUUUUUGACCCCUGUGAGGACCUUUGAGAUUCUUUUAGGAAGAGUGUUCUGGAGACAGUAUAACCAAAGAAUAGUCUGGAAAGCUGAGAUAAGGAUGGCCUGAGGGCACUGAGAUCUACUGUUCCUCUUGGAACACCUGAGAUUGUCCCACCAAAAAAGGGCAUAAUUAGCAAGUAUCCUGAAGCAAAUUCCAAUUGAUGAAAAUGAUAACUUCAUUCUGAGGAGACAGAAUGACUUAUGGACAUUACUUAGGAUCAAAAAAGAAAGGAAAAAAAGUCUGAUUUUAUCAUGUAACCCAAAAAAAAGAUGAGACCAGGAUUUCAGUAUGGCCAGUGGUUGGUAAAAUGUAGUCUUCUCAAGGCUUCCCCAAGGCAUAAUUUUGCUUUGAGUGGUUCUUGACGAAUAGUUUUUCUUCCAGAUGAUAAUCAGUGGAAAAUACCAGGGAAGGAUUUGAGUGUAAAUCCUUUAAAAUCAAGAACGGCUGUCCUAAUUUGAAUUUGAAUUUGAGUGUUCUUCUCAAUGAUAGACAUGCAUGUCUGACAAAGAUAGCCAAGCAUUACUUACUUGACUUAAAAGAGCAACCAACCACUCCAGAGCAGCUGAAGCUAUACUAGAGACAGAAUCAGACACCUACCUCUUUUGUGUGUCCAUUUCCAUAUCAGAAAUAGAGGGCUAGUAAUUGAUACCCAAAGCUGCAGAGGAAUAGUGGGUUAGAUUGCCUGCUUGGUCUCAAAGUCUAGUGCAUCAUCUUCGUUAUUGAUUAGGUAGAAAUCUUUGGAUCAAUUACAUAACCUCUCUUGUACUUCAAUUUCCUCAUCCAUAAAAUAGGAAAUAAUAGUAUCUACCUCUUUGAGUUGUUGGAAAAUAUUAAAUGAGUUGAUAACUCUAAAGCUCUUGGUGCUUGGCACAUAGCAAGCACGUAAAGAGUAAAGGUUCCCUGAUGGUUCUCCUGGCCACUAAUAACAUUGACACCAUGGAUAGGGAAACCUAUGUGAGGCCUGGUUUGAUGGAUAUUAACUGCUGACUGAGUAUCGAUGGCUUCCUCCCCUUCCCCUGAUGGGGUCCUUUUCUAGAGUCAAAGCCUUACAGAGGACAUUUAUUUCAUUUUCAGAAGGAGGUUGAGAAUAUUCUGGAUAAUCUUAAUAAGGAAUUUGAGGACUAGAGACUGAUUGACAAGAGGAAGAGUUUCCCUCAGAGGAAGAACACAGCAAAGGUAACAAGAUGUUGCUUCUGUCAUUGUGUGACAUAAGAUUGCAACAUUUGUCUUUCUGAGAGACUCUCUCCCUUGCUGGCUUUGAGGAAGCAAGCAGCCAUUUGAGAUGGUCCACAAGGCAAGAAACUGUGGGCAGCCUCUGGUCAACAGCCAGCAAGAAACCGAGUUCCUCAGUCCAAGACCCGGCAAGGAACUGAAUGCUUCCAACAACCACGUGAGCUCAGAAGUGAAUCUUCCCCCAGUAAAGCUUUCAAAGGAAAGAAAGCAAUUCACUGAAGACCUUUGUAUCUAUUCUGUUCUCUCAGAGAGGGUUUGGGACAGACUGCAUGGUUCCAGUAAGCUGAGGAGGAGGAAGGAACUAGUAUGCUACCUUUCUUCAAAUUCCGCCAGGAGCAACUCCUUGUGAUAGCUUAUGAAGAACACUGAAAGUUUGUGUUAAGUGUCUGCAAGCUGUCAUCAUGAAAAUGGAGAAAUAUGAACUACCCCCUCCGAGCUCUGUCACACAAAUACAACUAUAAUUAAUUUGAUAUGGAAUAUUUCCUGCAAUUCCCUUUCCCCUGUUAAAGUUUUAAUUUGUGUAACCGGAACCAUCUUAGGUAUAAUUAUAAAAGGCACUUAAUUUACUUUGAUGGCUAAAUUACAAGGCUAUGUGGAAACUUUUUAAAAUGUAUUUUUUGCAUAAAUAAUACCUACACUUCCUUACAUCUACUCCAUCCAACCAAAUAUCCCUCUCCAGAGAUUCUGUAAAUAUACAAGCAUGUAUAAAUUUCUUUUCUUUUUUUGAUUCAACAUUGGUUUAUAACAGUCUAUAAAUUGCAGGUGUACAUCAUUGUAUUUCGAUUUCUGUCUAGAUUACAUCAUGUUCACCACCCAAAGACUAAUUACCAUCCAUCACCAUACACGUGUGCGAAUUACCCCUUCACCCUCUUCCCUCCCUCUCUCCCCUCUGGUAACCACCAAUCCAAUCUCUGUCUCUAUGUGUUUGUUGUUUUUAUCUUCUAUUUAUGAGUGAGAUCAUAUGGUAUUUGACUUUCUCCCUCUGACUUAUUUCACUUAGCAUAAUACCCUUAAGGUCCUUCCAUGUUGUCACAAAUGGUACUAUUUCAUCAUUUUUUAUGGCUGAGUAGUAUUCCAUUGUGUAUAUAUACCACAUCUUCUUUAUCCAUUCGUCCCUUGAUGGGCGCUAGGUUGCUUCCAAGUCUUGGCUGCUGUGAAUAAUGCUGCGGUGAACAAAGGGGUGCAUAUAUCUUUAUACAUUCAUGUUUCCAUGUUCUUUGGAUAAGUACCCAGCAGUGGAAUAGCUGGAUCAUAUGGUAGUUCUAUUCUUAAUUUUUUGAGGAAUCACCAUACUGUUUUCCAUAGUGGCUGCACCAGUUUACAGUCCCACCAGCAGUGUAUGCGAGUUCCCUUCUCUCCACAUCCUCUCCAACACAUGUUGUUUCCUGUCUUAUUAAUUAUAGCCAUUCUGACGGGUGUAAGGUGAUAGCUCAUUGUAGUUUUGAUUUGCAUUUCCCUAAUAAUUAGUGAUGUUGAAUGUCUUUUCACGUGCCUGUUGGCCAUUUGUAUAUCUUCUUUGGAAAAGUGUCUAUUCAGAUCUUUUGCCCAUUUUUUAAUUGGGUUGUUAGUUUUUUUGUUGUUGAGAUGUAUGAGUUCUUUUUAUAUUUUGGAGAUUAACCCCUUAUCAGAUAUAUGGUUUGCAAAUAUCUUCUCUCAAUUGUUAGGUUUUCUUUUUGUUUUGUUGAUGGUUUCCUUUGCUGUGCAGAAGCUUUUUAGUUUGAUGUAGUCCCAUUUGUUUAUUUUUCCCGUUGUUUCCCUUGCCUGAUCAGACAUGGUGCUUGAAAAUAUGCUGCUAAGACUGGUGUUGAAGAGCGUACUGCCUAUGCUUUCUUCUAGAAGUUUUAUGGUUUCAGGUCCUACAUUCAAGUCUUUAAUCCAUUUUGAGUUAAUUUUUGUGUAUGGUGAAGGAUAAUGGUCUAUUUUCAUUCUUUUGCAUGUGGCUGUCCAGUUUUCCCAACACCAUUUGUUGAAGAGACUUUCCUUUCUCCAUUGUAUGUUCUUGGCUGCCUUGCAAAAAUCAGCUGUCCGUAGAGGUGAGGAUUUUAAAUUCUUUUUAAUAGACUAAUUAUAGCAUACUUUUCCACAUAUUUUUUCACAAUAUAUCACAGAAUUCCUUUUGUCUAUCUACCUAUAUCUGUCUAUUUUUUCUUCAUUCUCUUAUUACAGUGCAUGUGUAUUCAAAAGCACACUAGUGUGUUUUAUAUACUAGGCUCCCUGUCAGUAAUUUGUUUUCAAAUUUUCACUGUAACACAUGAUGUUACAAUAAACAGCAUUGUAUAAAGUAAUUUUAUAUAAUACAUGUUCAAUUAGAUAUUUAGGGUGAAUUUCCUAUAAGUAGAAAUACUGAGUCACAAAGUAUGUGCCUUACAAUUUUUAUGUAUGUCAUUGUUUUCCACAGAAAUAUCAACAUAUGUUUUCACUCCCAAUUGUCUCUUUCCCUUUAUCUUGGCCUAUAGUGUAAUCAAACCUUUUUUAAUGCUUUAUUUGUCUUUGGAAAUAUGCAUACAGAAUAUAUGUAUAGGUAGGUAGAUAUGCAUAAGUGUAUAUACACACACACACACACA